rnacentral:rRNA from 1 species
UACGUAGGGUGCAAGCGUUGUCCGGAAUUAUUGGGCGUAAAGAGCUCGUAGGCGGCUUGUCACGUCGGGUGUGAAAGCCCGGGGCUUAACCCCGGGUCUGCAUUCGAUACGGGCAGGCUAGAGUGUGGUAGGGGAGAUCGGAAUUCCUGGUGUAGCGGUGAAAUGCGUAGAUAUCAGGAGGAACACCGGUGGCGAAGGCGGAUCUCUGGGCCAUUACUGACGCUGAGGAGCGAAAGCGUGGGGAGCGAACAGG